rnacentral:rRNA from 1 species
CGGGAUAGCACAGGGAUGGGCUUAUGACGCAUUAGCCAGCUGGUGAGGUAACGGCUCACCAGGGCGACGAUGCGUAGCCGGCCUGAGAGGGUGGACGGCCACAUUGGGACUGAGACACGGCCCAGACUCCUACGGGAGGCAGCAGUGGGGAAUAUUGCACAAUGGGGGAAACCCUGAUGCAGCGACGCCGCGUGAGCGAAGAAGUAUCUCGGUAUGUAAAGCUCUAUCAGCAGGGAAGAAGAGAGACGGUACUUGACUAAGAAGCCCCGGCUAACUAC